rnacentral:rRNA from 1 species
AUUGAACGCUGGCGGAAUGCUUUACACAUGCAAGUCGAACGGCAGCACGGACUUCGGUCUGGUGGCGAGUGGCGAACGGGUGAGUAAUGUAUCGGAACGUGCCCAGUCGUGGGGGAUAACGUAGUGAAAAUUACGCUAAUACCGCAUACAAUCUAUGGAUGAAAGCGGGGGAUCGCAAGACCUCGCGCGAUUGGAGCGGCCGAUAUCAGAUUAGGUAGUUGGUGGGGUAAAGGCCCACCAAGCCAACGACCUGUAGCUGGUCUGAGAGGACGACCAGCCACACUGGAACUGAGACACGGUCCAGACUCCUACGGGAGGCAGCAGUGGGGAAUUUUGGACAAUGGGCGAAAGCCUGAUCCAGCCAUUCCGCGUGCAGGAUGAAGGCCCUCGGAUUGUAAACUGCUUUUGUACAGAACGAAAAGGUUUCUACUAAUACUAGGAGCUCAUGACGGUACUGUAAGAAUAAGCACCGGCUAACUACGUGCCAGCCGCCGCGGUAA